CAUUGGCAGACAGUGCGCAGGCGCGUUCCCUUCCGAGCCCGGUGUUUUGGGAGAGUGUUUGGUGUCCGGCGCGCGUGGGCGGACCGUACCCGAACGCCCCGCACCUCUACCGCUUCCGCCCGGGACGCACGCUGCGUGGCCACGCUGAGUUUGGUCGGAAGCGGGAUCAGUGCGUGGACAGGUGGCUCGGGCUGCUGCGGGGAGUGGAGCGGGGAUUUGGUCUGCGGCUACGCCGCCUCCAGGGAUUCCACUUGGUUGUCCUGUCCAGCGGUCUUGGUACAGAGAAGUAAAAAGACUGUUACAAUUCAGAGUGAUAAUGUGAUAGAAGAACAUUGUGAUGGAAGAGGAGUGAAUGAAGUUCUGUGGAAACGGCCUGGGAGAAUCAGUUUCAGUUUGCAGUGAGAUUUCAGUGUUAAACUGCCCUGGAGGGAGGUGGGAGCCUUACAGACAGAAGGGUAAAUGCAUAUGAAGGCAUAACGUGUGGAAGGCUCCUGAAGCUCUAGGGAGAGCCUCACAGAGAACAUUACCCAAUAUUCUGUGGUAAUCUAUGUUGGAAAAGAAAUGGAAAGAGAAUGGAUGUGUGUACAUGUAUAACUGAAUCACUUUGCAGUACAGCAGAAGUUACCACAACAUGUGAAUCAACUGUCCUUCCAUAAAACUUUAAAAAAUGGAAAAAAAGGAGAAGAGAGAGGUCCUGCAUGUAAUGAAGUACAUUUGGGCAUUUUCAACAUGUUGAACAUAUGCUCUUACUGGGAUAUGGUCUUAACUGGGAGAAAAUUGAGAAGCAAGGAGACAAGGAUAUUCUUUCAGGUGUGGGUGGAAAAAGAACCAUUAAAAGAGAUGCGAAACAGAAAAGAAGGGAAUAAUGAUAAUUGCUGAUAUUUAUUGAGCAUUUGCUAUGUCCCAGGCAGUGUGUUAAACAUGUACAUCAAUCUUUAAAGUAACUUUGAAGUUCUAGUUCAAUUCUAAUGUGGUUUUUCAUUUUAUCAUUGAGAAAACUGAGGUUUAGAGAGAUUAGCUAAUUGGAGUUCCUGUCGUGGCACAGCGGAAAUGAAUCAGGCUAGGAACCAUGGAGUUGUGGAUUUGAUCCCUGGCCUUGCUCAGUGAGUUAAGGAUCCAGCAUUGCUGUGGGCUGUGGUGUAGGUUGCAGAUGCAGCUUGGAUCCUGCAUUGCUGUGGCUCUGGCCUAGGCUGGCAGCAAUAGCUCCGAUUAGACCCCUAGCCUGGGAACCUCCAUAUGCCAUGGAUGUGGCCCUAAAAAGACAAAAAAAAAAAAAGAGAGAGAGAGAUUAGCUAACUGCCCAAGUUACAUAGUUUGUAAGUGCAGGACCAGGGUAUGAACUAGUGCAGUCUGACUACAAAGCCCACACUCUUAGCAUUAGAAAAAAAUGGCAUGGUGUUCUUUUGUGCUGCAGCGGGUUAAGGAUCUGGCAUUGUCACUGCAGUGGCUGUAUUGCCACUGUGGCUUAGGUUUGAUCUCUGGCCUGGGAACUUCCACAUGCCACAGGCACGG
rnacentral:lncRNA from 1 species